CUACGGGGCGCAGCAGUGGGGAAUCUUGGACAAUGGACGAAAGUCUGAUCCAGCGACACCGCGUGGGGGAUGAAGGCUUUCGGGUCGUAAACCCCUUUUCUGGGGGAAGAAUGAGGCUGGGAGGAAAUGCCCAUCCGAUGACGGUACCUCAGGAAUAAGCAUCGGCAAACUUCGUGCCAGCAGCCGCGGUAAGACGAAGGAUGCGAGCGUUAUCCGGAAUCACUGGGCGUAAAGGGCGUCUAGGCGGUCGGGUAAGUCACUUGUGAAAGCCCGCGGCUCAACCGCGGAAGGUCUCGUGAUACUGCUCGAGUCGGGUGUAGGAGAGGGGAGUGGAACUCACAGAGUAGCGGUGGAAUGCGUAGAUACUGUGAGGUACCCCGAUGGCGAAGGCAACUCCCUGGCCUGCUACCGACGCUGAAGCGCGAAAGCGUGGGGAGCGAAGGGGAUUAGAUACCCUCGUAGUC
rnacentral:rRNA from 1 species